UUAUCGGAAGGUGCGGCUGGAUCACCUCCUUUUGAGCAUGACGUCAUCGUCUUGCGGGCGUCCUCACAAAUUACCUGCAUUCAGAGAUUCAUACCGGCACAGGUCGGUAUGCGAAGUCCCUUUUGGGGCCUUAGCUCAGCUGGGAGAGCACCUGCUUUGCAAGCAGGGGGUCGUCGGUUCGAUCCCGACAGGCUCCACCAUAUUGAGUGAAAAGACUUCGGGUCUGUAGCUCAGGUGGUUAGAGCGCACCCCUGAUAAGGGUGAGGUCGGUAGUUCGAGUCUACCCAGACCCACCACUCUGAAUGUAGUGCACACUUAAGAAUUUAUAUGGAUCAGCGUUGAGGCUGAUACAUGUUCUUUUAUAACUUGUGACGUAGCGAGCGUUUGAGAUAUCUAUCUAAACGUGUCGUUGAGGCUAAGGCGGGGACUUCGAGUCCCUAAAUAAUUGAGUCGUAUGUUCGCGUUGGUGGCUUUGUACCCCACACAACACGGCAUGUAACUCCGAGGCAACUUGGGGUUAUAUGGUCAAGCGAAUAAGCGCACACGGUGGAUGCCUAGGCGGUCAGAGGCGAUGAAGGACGUGGUAGCCUGCGAAAAGUGUCGGGGAGCUGGCAACAAGCUUUGAUCCGGCAAUAUCCGAAUGGGGAAACCCACUGCUUCGGCAGUAUCCUGCAGUGAAUUCAUAGCUGCUGGAAGCGAACCCGGUGAACUGAAAUAUCUAAGUAACCGGAGGAAAAGAAAUCAACCGAGAUUCCCUAAGUAGUGACGAGCGAACGGGGAGCAGCCCUUAAGCUGGAAUGGCUUUAGAAAAACAAUCUGGAAAGAUUGGCCAUAGAAGGUGAUAGCCCUGUAUUUAAAAGGGCCACUCCAGUGAAGACGAGUAGGGCGGGGCACGUGAAACCCUGUCUGAAUAUGGGGGGACCAUCCUCCAAGGCUAAAUACUCCUGACCGACCGAUAGAAUUCCC
rnacentral:sRNA from 1 species